rnacentral:rRNA from 1 species
AUUGAACGCUGGCGGCAUGCCUUACACAUGCAAGUCGAACGGCAGCACGGGAGCAAUCCUGGUGGCGAGUGGCGAACGGGUGAGUAAUAUAUCGGAACGUGCCCAGUCGUGGGGAUAACGUAGCGAAAGCUACGCUAAUACCGCAUACGAUCUAUGGAUGAAAGCGGGGGAUCGCAAGACCUCGCGCGAUUGGAGCGGCCGAUAUCAGAUUAGGUAGUUGGUGAGGUAAAGGCUCACCAAGCCGACGAUCUGUAGCUGGUCUGAGAGGACGACCAGCCACACUGGGACUGAGACACGGCCCAGACUCCUACGGGAGGCAGCAGUGGGGAAUUUUGGACAAUGGGCGCAAGCCUGAUCCAGCAAUGCCGCGUGCAGGAUGAAGGCCUUCGGUUGUAACUGACUUUGUUACGGAACGAAACGGUGAGCUCUAAUACAGUUGUCUAAGUUAGACGGUACCGUAAGAAUAAGCACCGGCUAACUACGUACG